rnacentral:snRNA from 1 species
GUGUUCAUGUCAGCAGCACAUAGACUAGAACUAGAAUGAUGGAGAGAAGGUUAGCAGGGCUCAUGUGCAGGCCUGACAUGGAAAUUCAGGAAGUGUUCUGUUACAAA